rnacentral:misc_RNA from 1 species
AGUUGCGUAUUCGGGAUGCAAGAGGGUGGUGAAUAAACAGAUCAUGGGCAGAUAAACCAAACAUCUCGGUUGAAGUUUCAACGCUGCUGAGUAAUAACUGUGCCAUUGCAAUAGUUCUGUUGAAAAGAUCGACUGCAUAAAAGCGGAGGCACUCAUAAUGGAGUUCGGCGAAGACAUGUACUCCAAGAUCAAAACGAAUCUCUCACGGGUGCAGAUAUACGAGAGGCGUGACCUGCAAGAGAAAGCGUUGGCUUGCAUACCCGUUUCUGAGCUUACACGCAAGGCGCAACUCACUAUGAUUAACUAUGCAUCCAGCGCUACCCCUGCCAAAGAGAAGCGGGAUCCCGGUUUUAGAGACUUCUUGUUAAUGGAACUGCUGCACUGGUUUAAGGAGUCUUUCUUUUCCUGGGUGGAUACACUUAAAUGCAGCCAUUGCAGUGGCACCACAACAAACAUUGGCGCUGGAGAGCCCACUGCCGACGAAAUUGCCGGAGGGGCGUCGCGUGUUGAACUGCACGGCUGUUCCAAAUGUGGGACCCACGAACGGUUUCCUCGGUUUAACCACCCUGCCAAGCUGAUUGAAACGCGGAGAGGGCGCUGUGGAGAAUGGGCCAAUUGCUUUACGUUCUUUGCCCGGUCGAUGGCCUUCGACGCUCGGUAUGUGCUCGACUGGACUGAUCACGUUUGGACUGAAGUCUACUCGGACAGUCAGCAGCGUUGGCUGCACUGCGACCCGUGCGAAGCUCUCUGUGACGCGCCCCUUGUUUAUGAGGCUGGUUGGGGAAAGAAGCUCUCCUACAUUCUUGCCUUUUCGAAGGACGAAGUGCAGGACGUCACUUGGCGCUACACCUCGAACUUCGAAGCUGUUCGCGCAAGGCGUACAGCUUACUCGGAAACGGAGCUUAUUCAGCUGAUGCUUUCACUCACCCGGCAAUGCCAGGAGUCGUAUACUCAGAAACGCAAGGAAGAAUUGCUGCUGAGAAGAGUGUUGGAGCUAGCAGAGUUCCUGACGCCGAGGAAAGCAACCGAGAGUGAAUUGCAAGGAAGGUUGUCGGGGGCCUUGGCGUGGCGGCAGCAGAGAGGCGAGCUCGGAAACUGGGUGCCCUUUGCAUACAAGCCAAUUAACGCCAAGUGCAGAAACAUAGUUUUCAAGUACUCAUCAGCGAUGGACAAAUACUCUAUCUGCGAGGAUGGCAAGGAAACAAGCCAGAUUUCGGGCUGGGCAAAAGGGGCCUUCACCAUUGAGAAAAUGUUCCGGAAGGUGAUGUUGUGCUGUUUGCAAGGUAGAACAAGACUGGAAGAUGAGCUACUUGGCAAGACAGGAGGGUACUCCCGAGGGUUCACUAUCUUGGAGGCUUGAGCUCCUUCCUGGAAGGACAGUGGAAAAGCUGGACUUGACAUUCGCGGGAACCACGUAUGAGAAUGGAUCAGUCAACUGGUCUGUGUCGACGGACGAGGAAAACAUUCCUAUUGAGGGCUCCGAUGGUGCACAUUCGAUAACAUUGCAGAAAAAGGCAAAGUUUGUGUGCUUGAAGGCAGUGGUUAGUGGUGGCCGAGGAACCACUGCCUGGCAACAUGCACAGCUGUGCAGGGAAUCAUUGGACAACCAGCAAUACAGUUUAGAGAUGGCUGUGACGCUUUCAGACUGAAAGAGACGGAACUAUACACCAAGUGUCUUCAGUUUACACAGUACGAAUAACUUUUCACAAGUUAAGAAACGCUCAAAUCAGAAGUUGAAUUGCUUUUAAAGAACUGAGUGGAAAUCCUUUUGUUGUACUUAUAAUGCUAAGAAUUUGAAUGCACUUGCAUCUGCAUUGAGUGAGGUCAUUAAACAUGCAUUUUUUAUAGCACUACAGAAAUAUCAUACCACUCUUAAAAGUUAUUAAUUCUGAUAGGUUGCUUCACUCUUUUGGCAGCUGCUAAAAUCAGUGCCACAUUAUAAAGAAAAGUGCUACUCAGAUUAUGUAAAUUCAUGCAUCAUCUCACUGGUUUCAUGCAAAAUCAUCAGACAAGUUGCAUUGUGCUUGAUUGUCACAGACCUGGAGCUACAUUAGCAAGUCAUUACGCAAAAAAUGUGUAAUAGCUUUUGCUCAAGCGUGAAAAAAAAUGUCCUUUACACCGUUACUAUAGCGUAGUCACGCUAAACCUUUUCCUUGCUUCCUAGCAUGCCUCAAUAUUAGAUUGUGGUUUUGGCACAUAAAACCUCAAAAUAAACUUCUUUCCUUACUUCUCUGUAGGAUAUAAAUAAAUUGUGAUCAUGGAUUUCUAACAUGUUGGCACACUUUGUUUAAAGCAUCUCACAGCUCGAGUUAUAUUCUAGUGCAUUCUGUCUAUGUUUGGGCUUGUCACCUAUUAUAACCAAGGCACUCAAUAUUUAAACCUUUGUGAUACGAGAAUCCAAUAGAAUAUCAUGGUGAGAACUGUUCGAGUUCGAGAUUGAGAAAAGUUGGUGCCAAUAUUGGUAAAAGCCAUUAGCGAUUCAUAAAGAUGAAGGAAUCGCGCAGUGCACCUCUUGGGUUGUGGCAGAAUGUUUCUCAUGUAACCUUAAGCAAGGUUUUCGUUGCCAUAUUUUACAGAAAAAUUUUGUUGCCAUUAUGCUGUGGUAGUAGUGUCAGGGUAAGCAUUGUUACUUUUGUAGCUUUUUUUUCCUACAUAUUUGUUCCUAUUUGUGUGCAAUGACGUGCAUGCAGUAUGCAAUGGUAUGCUGGCAAUAAAUGGGGGCCUCGAAUGCAAGAAUAAAUCUCUUUGAAAAUUGACA